ACGCUCGACACCUACGGGAGGCAGCAAUGGGGAAUAUUGCACAAUGGGGGAAACCCUGAUGCAGGGACGCCGCGUGGAGGAAGAAGGUCUUCGGAUUGUAAACUCCUGUUGUUGGGGAAAAAGAGGAUGGUACCCAACAAGGAAGUGACGGCUAACUACGUGCCACAGCCGCGGUAAUCUGAGCGGGCUGGCAAGGC
rnacentral:rRNA from 1 species